UUCUAAUCUGUUGGAUAAAAUUAAUAAAUACCCAAAAAUCAAUCGUCGCAAAAAUCACAUAUAUUUUUUUACAUACCUCUUUAUGGUGCGGAAUUAAUGUUGUGAUUACCAGAAUCUGAUCUCGUCUUAUUUUACGAACUCAUCGAUCCGCCAACGUCCUGUCUCAAUUUGUUGCACGUUGUUCUUACUCGUUGCAAUCCGGCUACUAGAGUCGAUCGCCGCACACCGUCCAAAUCCCUAGGGUUUAUGAUGGUG
rnacentral:lncRNA from 1 species